AUUGAACGCUGGCGGCAGGCUUAACACAUGCAAGUCGAGCGAGCGGCGGCCGGGUGAGUAAUGUAUGGGAAACUGCCUGAAGGAGGGGGAUAACUACUGGAAACGGUAGCUAAUACCGCAUACCAUCAGAUGUGCCCAGAUGGGAUUAUCUAGUAGGUGGGGUAAUGGCUCACCUAGGCGACGAUCCCUAGCUGGUCUGAGAGGAUGACCGGCCACACGGGAAAUGAGACACGGUCCAGAUUCCUACGGGAGGCAGCAGUUGGGAAUAUUGCACAAUGGGCGAAAGCCUGAUGCAGGCAUGCCGCGUGUGUGAAGAAGGCCUUCGGUUUGUAAAGCACUUUCAGCGAGGAGGCGUUACUCGCAGAAGAAGCACCGGCUAACUCCGUUCCAGCAGCCGCGGUAAUAC
rnacentral:rRNA from 1 species